rnacentral:rRNA from 1 species
UACGUAGGGUGCAAGCGUUGUCCGGAAUUAUUGGGCGUAAAGGGCUCAUAGGCGGUCCGUCACGUCGGGAGUGAAAACUUGGGGCUUAACCCCAAGCCUGCUUCCGAUACGGGCGGACUAGAGGUAGGCAGGGGAGAACGGAAUUCCUGGUGUAGCGGUGAAAUGCGCAGAUAUCAGGAGGAACACCGGUGGCGAAGGCGGUUCUCUGGGCCUUACCUGACGCUGAGGAGCGAAAGCGUGGGGAGCAAACAGG